GAUUGGGUCUUAGUGGUAAUCUAUCUCUGUCAGGUGAUUGGUUUAUAGGAACAGCACACUAGUAUCUAAUGUUGGGUCUAGGAUUGGGUCUUAGUGGUAAUCUAUCUCUGUCAGGUGAUUGGUUUAUAGGAACAGCACACUAGUAUCUAAUGUUGGGUCUAGGAUUGGGUCUUAGUGGUAAUCUAUCUCUGUCAGGUGAUUGGUUUAUAGGAACAGCACACUAGUAUCUAAUGUUGGGUCUAGGAUUGGGUCUUAGUGGUAAUCUAUCUCUGUCAGGUGAUUGGUUUAUAGGAACAGCACACUAGUAUCUAAUGUUGGGUCUAGGAUUGGGUCUUAGUGGUAAUCUAUCUCUGUCAGGUGAUUGGUUUAUAGGAACAGCACACUAGUAUCUAAUGUUGGGUCUAGGAUUGGGUCUUAGUGGUAAUCUAUCUCUGUCAGGUGAUUGGUUUAUAGGAACAGCACACUAGUAUCUAAUGUUGGGUCUAGGAUUGGGUCUUAGUGGUAAUCUAUCUCUGUCAGGUGAUUGGUUUAUAGGAACAGCACACUAGUAUCUAAUGUUGGGUCUAGGAUUGGGUCUUAGUGGUAAUCUAUCUCUGUCAGGUGAUUGGUUUAUAGGAACAGCACACUAGUAUCUAAUGUUGGGUCUAGGAUUGGGUCUUAGUGGUAAUCUAUCUCUGUCAGGUGAUUGGUUUAUA